rnacentral:rRNA from 1 species
CGCUGGCGGCGUGCUUAACACAUGCAAGUCGAACGGUGAAGGGGAGCUUGCUCCCCGGAUCAGUGGCGAACGGGUGAGUAACACGUGGGCAACCUGCCCCAGACUUCGGGAUAACGCUUCGAAAGAGGUGCUAAUACCGGAUACGAACUCCUUGGGCAUCCCGGGAGUUGGAAAGUUUUUCGGUCUGGGAUGGGCCCGCGGCCUAUCAGCUUGUUGGUGAGGUAACGGCUCACCAAGGCGACGACGGGUAGCCGGCCUGAGAGGGCGACCGGCCACACUGGGACUGAGACACGGCCCAGACUCCUACGGGAGGCAGCAGUGGGGAAUAUUGCGCAAUGGGCGAAAGCCUGACGCAGCAACGCCGCGUGAGGGAUGACGGCCUUCGGGUUGUAAACCUCUUUCAGCAGGGAAGAAGCGAAAGUGACGGUACCUGCAGAAGAAGCACCGGCUAACUACGUG